CCUGAACAUGAAAAAAGGAAGGAAAUUAAUAUUUGCGUUAACGAACAGAUGCGACAAUCUGGGUACCGUUUCUUAUGUACUCAUCAAUUGAAGAUGGAUGUGAGAAUUAUCGAUGAAUAUAAUAAUAAUAAUAAUAAUAAUAUAUGUGUGUGUGUAUAUAUAUAUAUAUAUCUAAAAAUCAUGUAAUUUUAAUUUAAUAGAGAUAAUUAAUAAUUUUUACGCUUUUCGUUUUUAUCGAUAAUAAAUUUUUCGAUCACGUGAUUUUUAGAUAAUUAUCUACAACAUGAGAGAAUGAGAUAUAAAAUAUGUUAUAAGGUUAAUACAAUUGUUAUCAGUCGAGUGUUUUGAAUAAAAUGGCGAUGACGAGAUGUUCUGCUGCACAAGAACCUUGAGAAAAGUUAAUGUUUUUUUCUUUGUACGUUGUUAGUGGAUUUAUAAUAUUAUUCGCUGAAAAAUGAUAUUAGAAAAUAAGAUAAGCGUGAAAUUAAUCUCUUUUUUACGUAUUUUUCUUUUCAAUUAUUUUAAUUCGAAAUAUUAGAUGAAUUUUUAUCCAACGAUAUUUCCUAUUUAUGUCUAUUUAUUAUGUGACUAACAAAUUUGUAAAUGAAAUAUAAUUGCUAAGAGGAAAAAUUUAAAAUAUUUAUCACAAGAUUAUAUAAAUUAACUCGUUAAUUUAUUAUUAAAAAUAAGAAAAAUCAUAGUAAAAAUUCUAAUCUGCAUAAAAAUGAUGGAUUAAUAAUAUGCUCGUAUGAAGGGGAUAGAGUGUGAAUUUUAUGAUUUUUAUUUCGUCGUUACAAAAAGAAAAAAAAAGGAACAGAGAGAAAAGGGGUUGAGAGAGAGAAAGAGAGAGAGAGAGACAAAAAAGAAGGGAAGAUGAUGUAUGAUACAAAAAGUAUAGUAAAUAACCUCGACUAAAGCACGAUACAAUUGUUUCGCAUAGCAAGAAUGAUGUCUACAAUACGUAUGACUAAAGGUAUGACUAAAUGAAUGACUAAAAGUACAGCAAUAAGCGCAUCGUGUUACUACCGUGUUUUUUUUAAUAUUACUAAUAAUUACUCGAUCGUGUUCGUAUUAUACUUGUAACGUUCAUCGUUUACAGGGAACUAUAUAUCAUAUGAUAUAUGUUACAGUAUCAUACGUUGUACAGUGAAUCGAAAACUAUUCGAAAAGAACUUUAAAAGUGCAAAUUUGAGAGUGCAAAGUCGUCACCAAGUUCUUUUUCAAGUAACAAAUUGAGAAAAAAGAAUAUUGUUUAAUAAUAACAUUGUUCUGUUGGAAUUUUUUGCGAGUAUUCAUAGGUUUCUCGUUUCGACCCUUUCGGUACUGCGCGUUAAAACUCAUUGCCAUUAAAAAUUUCUAACAUUUCUUAAUUUCCCCCCUUGCUAUAUAUAUAUACAUAUGCUAUAUUUCGACAAUUAAAUCAAUUUUUUACAUCGCAACUUAAUUUGAGAAUACGCAUGAAUAAACAAAAAUUGUAAUAAAUAGAAAUAGAGAAACGGCGACGAAUAAAACUGUAA